UUUUGACACUUCAGUUGCUUAUCUUGGAAAUGUGGUGGAAACACAACUGCUUCCUCUGAGGAACUGAAUUGCAGCCAUAUGCAGUUUCCUUCCUAACCUGCACAGGUGAAACAAGGAUAUUUUCCCCAGCAUGGCUUUCUGAACCUCGCCACUGAAAUGCGGCAGAGCAAGACAGCUGCAAUUUUAAAGCAGCCAUUUUGGAAGUAGUUACUACUUGCGCUUUGCUCUCCUAUCUGGUUUUUUUCACCCUGGAUUUACACUGAGGCAAAUAACAGAGCAGCCCACAUACUUUUUUUAUAUAUAUAUAUUUAUUUAUUUAUAAUAUAUGUAUCCUUUAUUUUUUAUACAAUUUAGCCAUAUAUCUAUUAGCCUUUGAAAACAACUUGUUGAAUAAUAUAGCUCGUAUUAGCAGUACUGUUAUAAUUUUAUUUUGUAUGUCGUGAAUUUAUUUGUCUUGACAACAGAAAGUCUUGGGACUAGCUGGAAAGUGGACUUCAGCUGAGUAGCACUAGAGCUAAAUUAGAUGACCCUGAAAAGAGAAAUAACUAUGAAAGGAGUAGAACAGCGAGUUGGCAACAGAUCUGCUGUGAAAGUUGUGAUACUUUAAAGGACAAAUAUUCUGCUGUGCUUUUCAAAACUUCAAAACAGGUGAAAGGGAAGAACAGUGAUUCCCCUUCUCUGUCCAUUCACACAUGGCAAGAAAAGAUGAAAAAGAAAGUGCAGGCUAAAGUAAGUUAUAAUAUAAUCAGUCCAUAUGGAGGUAAAAUUAAAAAGUGGGGAGACACUUUCUUUAUUCCUUUCUUCCUCUGCUACUUGACUGCUCUCCCUGUUUUCCAGACUGGAAUGUGCCAAAAAAUUUUCAUUUCUAUGCCCCAA
rnacentral:lncRNA from 1 species